rnacentral:rRNA from 1 species
AGUUGUAAUUUCGAGAAGUGUUGCCCGUGCCGGACCGUGCAUAAGUCCUCNGGAAAGGGGUAUCAUAGAGGGUGACAAUCCCGUCUUUGGUACGGAUUCCCGGUGCAUUGUGGUAUGCUCUCAACGAGUCGAGUUGUUUGGGAAUGCAGCUCAAAAUGGGUGGUAAAUUCCAUCUAAAGCUAAAUAUUGGCGUGAGACCGAUAGCGAACAAGUACCGUGAGGGAAAGAUGAAAAGAACUUUGGAAAGAGAGUUAAACAGUACGUGAAAUUGUCAAUAGGGAAACGCUUGAAGUCAGUCGCGUUGCUCGGGGAUCAGCCUUCCCUGCGGGGUUGGUGUACUUCCUGAAUAACGGGUCAGCAUCAGUUUUGACUGCUGGAGAAAGGCUUAGGGAAUGUNNCUCUUUCGGGAGUGUUAUAGCCCUUGGUCAUAUACAGUGNUUNNNAUUGAGGAACUCAGUACGCCGCAAGGCAGCUCUUCGGA